rnacentral:pre_miRNA from 1 species
ACAACGUUUGGACCGUCGGUCUGCCGAGCAAAUACACUCGCUCCGCAGAAGAUCUUACCUUUAUCGU